rnacentral:lncRNA from 10 species
UGGUUGUAGUUGACUCACGGUUAAAAAAACAGAGUUCAAAUAAGAACAUUCUUUCUCCCCACACACCCAGCCCUGUCUUUCUCAUGGGAGCCAACACUCAGGACACCAAGAAUUCAAGACAUCAGUUCUGCUUGGCACAAGUAUCGUGGAUCAAAAACAGAGUAUUGAAGAAGUGGAAGACACGCCUAAACCAACUCUGGUGACAUUUGCUUUACCUUAUACAUAAAAUCCUUGUCUGCAUCUUCUUAAACACCGUCCAUGUCCCAUAAGGGAAGCAUGCUUUUAUUUAAACAGUUUAUACUAGCAAAGAUACUGACCCCUUUAGGAAUACUUUUUCCCCAUCUUCCAGAGAUUUUUUUUUUCCUGCUUUGGCUACAUAUCCAUCAUUGUUUAUUUUUGAAACUAUAAUCCAGAUACUUCUUUUUCAUGGAUUCCCGAGAUCACCCAAUUGAUAGCUCUUCUGUACUCCCCAAAUUGAACUGAUCUUCACAAGCACAUUCAUCUCUUCCUACUCUGAACAGUAGUUAUUUAGGUUUUUGCUCUUUUUUUUUUUUUAAUCUCAGUUGCUUGAAAGUAGGAUUUAGGUAUUUGUGUCUGUAUUCAUGACCAAAAAUCUUAUCUGAAUUCAGGGCCAGCUUCAUAAGCAUGUGACCUGUGCAGACACAUGGAAUCGUAUGCUCUGCAAGAACCCAUGCUAGAUUUAAUGCUCUGCUGUUGUCAUCUUGGAAUCCUUAGUCAUUUUCAAACAAGAGAUAUUGUAUUUUCAUUUUUCACUGACCCCACAAAUUAUAUAGCUGAUUCAGUGUGAAUGUAAUAUUUCUCAAUAAAUGCUGAC